rnacentral:rRNA from 1 species
UACGGAGGGGGCUAACGUUGUUCGGAAUUACUGGGCGUAAAGCGAGUGUAGGCGGUGUGGUAAGUCGGAUGUGAAAGCCCCGGGCUCAACCCGGGAAGUGCACUCGAUACUGCCACGCUAGAGUAUCGGAGAGGUUGGUGGAAUUCUCGGUGUAGAGGUGAAAUUCGUAGAUAUCGAGAGGAACACCGGUGGCGAAGGCGGCCAACUGGACGAAUACUGACGCUGAGACUCGAAAGCGUGGGGAGCAAACAGG